rnacentral:rRNA from 1 species
AGGGUGCAAACGUUGUUCGGAAUGACUGGGCGUAAAGCGUAUGUAGGCGGCUUUGCAGGUCGGAUGUGAAAUCCCUUGGCUCAACCAAGGAAGUGCAUUCGAAACCGCAGAGCUUGAGUGCCUGAGAGGAAGGUGGAAUUCUCGGUGUAGAGGUGAAAUUCGUAGAUAUCGAGAGGAACACCCGUGGCGAAAGCGGCCUUCUGGAAGAGCACUGACGCUGAGAUACGAAAGCAUGGGGAGCAAACAGGAUUAGAUACCCUGGUAGUCCAUGCCGUAAACGAUGGGUGCUAGAUGUGGCGGGUUUUGACCCCUGCCGUGUCGUAGCUAACGCAUUAAGCACCCCGCCUGGGAAGUACGGCCGCAAGGCUAAAACUCAAAGGAAUUGACGGGGGCCCGCACAAGCGGUGGAGCAUGUGGUUUAAUUCAACG